rnacentral:rRNA from 1 species
UCCGGUUGAUCCUGCCAGAGGUUACUGCUAUCGGAGUUCGAUUAAGCCAUGCGAGUCUAAAGGUUUCUUCGGAAACCUUGGCGGACUGCUCAGUAACACGUGGAUAACCUACCCUUGGGACUGGAAUAACCCCGGGAAACUGGGGAUAAUACCGGAUAGAUCAUGGAUGCUGGAAUGCACCUUGAUCCAAAGCUCCGGCGCCCAAGGAUGGGUCUGCGGCCUAUCAGGUUGUAGUGGGUGUAACGUACCUACUAGCCGACGACGGGUACGGGUUGUGAGAGCAAGAGCCCGGAGAUGGAUUCUGAGACACGAAUCCAGGCCCUACGGGGUGCAGCAGGCGCGAAACCUUUACAAUGUGCGAAAGCAUGAUAAGGGAACUCCGAGUGCCAGUAUCUAAUACUGGCUGUCCUUGUGCCUAAAACGCACAAGAUAGCAAGGGCCGGGUAAGACCGGUGCCAGCCGCCGCGGUAACACCGGCGGCCCGAGUGGUAGCCGCUAUUAUUGGGUCUAAAGGGUCCGUAGCCGGUUCGAUGAGUCCUCUGGGAAAUCUGGUUGCUUAACAAUCAGACUGCCAAGGGAUACUGUCGAACUUGAGACCGGGAGAGGUAAGAGGUACUUCAGGGGUAGGAGUGAAAUCUUGUAAUCCCUGGGGGACCAUCUGUGGCGAAGGCGUCUUACCAGAACGGGUCUGACGGUGAGGGACGAAAGCUGGGGGCGCAAACCGGAUUAGAUACCCGGGUAGUCCCAGCCGUAAACGAUGCUCGCUAUGUGUCAGGUACGGUGUGACCGUAUCUGGUGCCGUAGGGAAGCCGUGAAGCGAGCCAUCUGGGAAGUACGGUCGCAAGACUGAAACUUAAAGGAAUUGGCGGGGGAGCAC